UACGUAGGGGGGCAAGCGUUUGUCCGGAUUUAUUGGGCGUAAAGAGCGUGUAGGCGGCUUGGAAGGUCAGCUGUGAAAACUCGAGGCUCAACCUCGAAACGUCGGUUGAAACCACCUGGCUAGAGUCCGGAAGAGGAGAGUGGAAUUCCUGGUGUAGCGGUGAAAUGCGCAGAUAUCAGGAAGAACACCCGUGGCUAAGGCGGCUCUCUAGUACGGUACUGACGCUGAGACGCGAAAGCGUGGGGAGCGAACAGG
rnacentral:rRNA from 1 species